rnacentral:rRNA from 1 species
GGGNNNNNAGCGNAAGGUGCUUGCACCUUUCAGUGAGUGGCGAACGGGUGAGUAACACGUGGACAACCUGCCUCAAGGCUGGGGAUAACAUUUGGAAACAGAUGCUAAUACCGAAUAAAACUUAGUGUCGCAUGACACAAAGUUAAAAGGCGCUUCGGCGUCACCUAGAGAUGGAUCCGCGGUGCAUUAGUUAGUUGGUGGGGUAAAGGCCUACCAAGACAAUGAUGCAUAGCCGAGUUGAGAGACUGAUCGGCCACAUUGGGACUGAGACACGGCCCAAACUCCUACGGGAGGCUGCAGUAGGGAAUCUUCCACAAUGGGCGAAAGCCUGAUGGAGCAACGCCGCGUGUGUGAUGAAGGCUUUCGGGUCGUAAAGCACUGUUGUAUGGGAAGAACAGCUAGAAUAGGAAAUGAUUUUUUGUUUGACGGUACCAUACCAGAAAGGGGACGGCUAAAUACGUGCCAGCAGCCGCGGUAAUACGUAUGUCCCGAGCGUUAUCCGGGAUUUAUUGGGCGUAAAGCCGAGCGCAGACGGUUUUAUUAUUUCUGAUGUGAAAGCCCGGAGCUCCACCUCCGGAAUGCCAUUGAAACUGGUUUACUUGAGGUGCAGAAAAGGUUAAGUGGAAACCUCCUNGGUGNAGCCGGUNAAUUGCGUANNNNNANNA